rnacentral:rRNA from 1 species
GAUGAACGCUGGCGGCGUGCCUAAUACAUGCAAGUCGAGCGAACAGACGAGGAACUUUCCCCUCUGAAGUUAGCGGCCGACGUGUGAGUAACACGUGGAGAACCUACCUAUUAGACUGGGAUAACUUCGGGAAACCGGAGCGAAUACCGGAUAAUAUAUUCAAUCGAACGGUUCAAUAGUAUAAGACGAUUUUGCUGUCACUUAUAGAUUAAUCUGCGCGGCAUUCGCUAGUUGUUGAUGUAACGGUGUACCAAGACCACGUUGCGUAGCAGACCUCAGAGGGUGAGCGGCCACACCGGAAUGGAGACACGGUCCAGAAUCCUACGGGAGGCAGCAGUCGGGAAUCUCCAGGAAUGGCAGCAAGCGUGACGGAGGAACGACGCGGGAGUGAUGAAGGCAUCCGGAUCGUAUGACUUUGUUAUUAGGGAAGAAGUAAUGUGUAAGUGACUAUGAACAAAUUGACGGUACCAAACGAGAAAGGCCCGGCUAACUACGUG